rnacentral:rRNA from 1 species
GAUGAACGCUGGCGGCGUGCUUAACACAUGCAAGUCGAACGAGAAUCAACGGAUUGAGGAUUCGUCCAAAUGAAGUUGAGGAAAGUGGCGGACGGGUGAGUAACGCGUGAGGAACCUGCCUUUCAGUGGGGGACAACAGUUGGAAACGACUGCUAAUACCGCAUAAUGCAUCGGAUUCGCAUGUUUCUGAUGCCAAAGAUUUUAUCGCUGAAAGAUGAGCUCGCGUCUGAUUAGCUAGUUGGCGGGGUAACGGCUUACCAAGGCAACGAUCAGUAGCCGGGCUGAGAGGCUCUGCGGCCACAUUGGGACUGAGAUACGGCCCAG